rnacentral:rRNA from 1 species
UACGUAGGGUGCAGGCGUUAAUCGGAAUUACUGGGCGUAAAGCGCACGUAGGUGGCGACGUAAGUCGGGUGUGAAAGCCCCGGGCUCAACCUGGGAAUUGCAUUCGAGACUGCAUUGCUGGAGUACGGAAGAGGAGGGCGGAAUUCCCGGUGUAGCGGUGAAAUGCGUAGAUAUCGGGAGGAACAUCAGUGGCGAAGGCGGCCCUCUGGUCCAGUACUGACACUCAAGUGCGAAAGCGUGGGGAGCAAACAGG